rnacentral:lncRNA from 1 species
CAUAUUACUGCUGCGAGAGUGUGUGAAGGAUUCUACUCUACUAAACAAGAUCAAAGGUCUGAGAGUGGAUACAGACAGAAGAGCUGAAAGCAACAAUCAGUUUUCAUUCUCAGGAUCUCCAUACUCUCUGCUUCACAAUGUAUGGUUUAAUAAUUCCAGUCAGGAUGAAGAUGAGGAACUUUUAUCAUCUGACGACUCCGUUGAUGGACUCACAACUCAUACUGAUUCAACAUCCAGUUCGCCCACUGACUCCAGUGUUACCAUAACGAACAGCAUCAACACUGUGCAUGCUGGUGAGGAUCAGUCAAUUUAUCCUCAGGAGGAAUCAUUUGACUCUUUUGAGUUUGAAUCAGACUCUACGGCAUCUGAACAAGACUCUCCAGUCCAAGACAAAUUACCCAUCUAUAGUCCACAGGACGGGCCGUUUCCCUUCAGCAGUGAAGAAACAUCCACAGAGAUCAGACGUAUGUGGUGUAACAAGUCAGAGGAAGAAGAGAAAGAGAAAUUCAUCCCUACAUCCAAAAGUGAGACAGAGAAAUAUAAAGUGAGUCGAACACUAAGCUUUCUCAGGAGCCGGAUGGUCAACACCAAAAUAAAAAACAAGGUAAAUGCAGAGGUUUCCUCGGCUUUGCACCAGCUCUGCCUACUGCAGCAGCCUGUUAAAGCAGCUUGUGUAGUCUGUGAGGGAGCUGACAGUGAUGAACCGCUGCAGUGCACAUUCUAUACUGGCUUUGAUGUCACUUCCUGUCCAGACUGCGCCA